GAGAGCACAGUACGAUGAAAGUUGUCAGCUGUGUUCGGGGGGUAAUUAUUGUCUAUCGUUGGCCUUUAUGGUAGAAUCAGCCGGGGGGCUAGAGAGGCGGUGGUUUACCCUGU
rfam:Punica granatum cultivar Dabenzi scaffold340, whole genome shotgun sequence.